CAAGUUUGAAGAAUAUGAUACAAUAUUUUCAUUUGAAAGGUCUCAGUCCAACCAAUAUCAAAAUUGAGGUAAAUUCUACUCUAGGGGAGCCUGCUCCUUCGUUUAGAAUAAUAAAAUAUUAGGUGGCAGAAUUUAAACGAGGCCGUACAAACUGCCAAGACGAAUACCGCAGUGGUCGACCAAAUGAAGUGACCACACCGGAAAUAUUGAAAAAAAUCCACAAAACGUUAUUGGAUGAUCGUCGACUGGAAGUGCGCGAGUUUGCAGACAUGGAAUAAAGCCGAGUUUUUGCGUCGAUUCAUAACUAUGGGUGAAACCUGGGUUCAUCACAUCACACCUGAGGGGUGAACCAGCUCCAAAGAAGGCGAAGACUGUUCCAUCUGCUGGUAAGGUCAUGACGUCAGUUUUUUGGGAUGCGCGUGGAAUAAUUUUCAUUGAUUAUCUUAAAAAAGGAAACACGAUCAACGGCGAGUAUUAUGCGAAUUUACUGCAGCGUUUGAGUGACAAAAUCAAGGAAAAACGGCCGCAUUUGGCGAAAAAGAAAAUGUUGUUUCAUGAAGACAAUGCACCAAUUCACACAUCCGUCAUCGUGAUGGCCAAAAUCCAGCAGUUCGAAUUGCUCCUCACGCACCCUAUUCGCUGAACUUAGCUCCCUCGGAUUAUUUUCUCUUUCCAAACUUGAAAAAAUGGCUCGGUGGUAAAAAAAUUUUCCAGUGAUAAAGAGGUGGAGUCUGCGGUUAAUGGCUAUUUUGAGGAGCUCGAUGGUUCUCACUAUAAACAGGAUAUCGAAGCUAUUGAACACCGCUUGGAAAAGUGUACCCAGCUAAAAGAAAAUUAUAUUGAAAAAUAAAGAUAUUUGUUCCCAAA